UACGUAGGGGGCAAGCGUUGUCCGGAUUUACUGGGUGUAAAGGGCGCGUAGGCGGGCUUGUAAGUCAGCGGUGAAAUCCUAUAGCUUAACUAUAGAACUGCCGUUGAAACUACAAGUCUUGAGUUUGGAAGAGAGUAGCGGAAUUCCAGGUGUAGUAGUGAAAUACGUAGAUAUCUGGAAGAACACCAGUGGCGAAGGCGGCUACUUGGUCCAUAACUGACGCUGAGGCGCGAAAGCGUGGGGAGCAAACAGG
rnacentral:rRNA from 1 species